UUGAAAGGGAAACGAUUGAAGUCAGUCGUACCUAUGGGUAAUCAGCCUUUUGGGUGUGAUUUUGUGGAGCGUGAGGAGUUAAACGCCUUCAUGCCUGCAUAUUCGUGCACUUUGGGUGUACUUGCCCGUGUGUAAGUUAACAUCAAUUUUGGUGGUCAUAAAAUGGCUGGAGGAAUGUAGCUUCGAUCUUGUAUUGAAGUGUUAUAGCCUUCGGUAGAUGUGACGAUCGGGAUUGAGGAUUGCAACGGAUACCCUUCGGGGCUACCUGUCUGAUCUCUGAUUGUUGCUCUGGUGCCGAAAGCUUGCUUACGGUUAUCAAAGUCGAUGGUCAAUAGGUUAGAAUGGGUUAAAUUCGUUAAGGAUGUUGACGUA
rnacentral:rRNA from 1 species